UUUAGGAAGUAAUGAAAGCAGCAGACUCAUGAUUUUUGAGCUUUUAAUUACUUAUUAAGUGGCAUGACAUAAAGGCUACGGGGGAGAUUUUUUUUUUCAGCAUCCAACUUAUUGGCUUUGAAGUCGGUGCCUAAAUACCCUUUGUGCCUUUGAAACUUUCCGUCUGCUCACAGGGGAACGUGCUGCUGCUCUGGGCUUUGUUUCACGCUGACCACAUUUGUUCGGGGGAGAGGAGCCCAGGGAUGGGAGCCUGCUCAGACACAGGUCCAAUAAAGAGCAGAGGUGAAUGCUGUCUAAAAAAAUAAAAAGGAAUGACUCCUUCACUCCUGGGGAACUUUUCCAGCUGCAGUUGUCUCCUGAGGGCUGCCGUGGUCACCUUCAACAGCAGGAAUGAUCCUCGAGCUCUUCACACUGCCCAAGGCUGGCACGAGCUGCACGUUGGGUUUUGUUGUCCAUCAUGCAGCCACAAUGAGCAUGCAGAGCUCACAGCCACACAGAGCCAGGUUUAAGCGGAGUUGCCCUUAUCUGACAUCCAUUGAUUUAGGCCUUUAAUCUGGGAAGGAAUGUGCUGCAGGUCACAGGAAGCUACUGGAUAGUUCCACAAUCCUCAUCGUGUCCCAGUCUUGCAGCGUAAACCUCUCAGGCAUGUUUUUCACCAAUGCAGAUAUUUGUGGAAACCAGUCCCUCAACUCAGUCUCCUUACACCCUCUGACCCCUGAAACCUGGCAUCUUUUUUGGAAAAAGCAAGGAUUUAAAUGCUAACAGCUGGAGGGCAGAAAGCAGAGCCCAUCCCUACUCUGCUGGCACUGCUGGAAUCACGGAGUGAGAAGGAUGAGAUGGGGAAACCCAAGGUAAACAGGCUCAUAUUAGUGCUGGUAUCCCAAGCCAGCAGUGGCUCUGCUCCCACAUGAGAGUAACCCUCCCUGAGCUGGGGAGCUGGACUGCUUGUGGAGCUACAACAAAGGAUUCAGACGUGUUUCCUCUUGGAACAGGAUGAAGCGAACCGUCUGCAACCCCAUCCAGUGGGCAGGUUGUCAUCCCCCCUCUCCCUGCCUCCCUCCAGAGAAGCAGCUCUGCUUCUCAUCCACAUCCACCCUCCCCUUUGAAAGCCAAGCUUCCUGCUCUGGGCUAUUUCUGAUCUCCAGAGCCAGGCUGCCAAGUGCCCAAGGAUGAUCUGGCCAAGGGGGGCUGGUGGGGCAGGGCAGGGACCUGAGGUGCUGGGGGGCCAUUGAAACAACUUUCCUCAUCGAAACAAGGCAAGAUCACAGAAUCAUAGAAUGGUUUGGGUAGGAGGGGACUUUAAAGAUCAUCUACUUCCAGCUCUCAAGACACUUUCCUGGUCAUCUGUGUCCAAGCAGACAAAGUUCUCUCACCCCCGUCCCAAGGCAAAGAAGGAGUUGCCAUAUUUUGGCCCUCAUUUUCAGAUGUUCUGGUGUUUCUACAUGUGCAUUUAUUCCCUCCUAUUCACACGGAUGUAUAACCAGGCAGCAGCUGUAAUGUAAUACCAGAGUCCUGUAUAUAACUCUGAAAACACCACUGGAGCAGCCCUAUUAUCGUGAGACCAAUCUGAGCAGGAAAUAUUAUCAUUACCAGGGGGCAUUAUUUUUUCCAAUCACACUUCAUAUCAGUUGUCAUCAAACCCUGUGUUUUAUAUAGUGUUACAAUAGCCACAGUUGCCAUGAAUUGUCUCUGGAUGGACUGUAAGUAUUAAAAACAAAAUAAGAAGCAUAUGUUGGAAUGUCUGAAACUAGCAGACAAAACUCCAGGCUUUGACAACGUUACGGGUUUUUUGGAAGGAGCCAGAUUUUAGCAAUAACAUUCCACUUUUGUGAGUCUACCCACCAGCAUCUAACCUGCCCUAUAACAUCUCACUCGAGUUUACAAUUUCCUUCACCUCCUGUUCCUCUCUAAUGUAAACUCUCUGGCUUUUCUCGAGCGUGUGGCUUGGAAGAGGAAUAGCUCCAGCCUCCCAGGUGCCAACUGGAAAUCUUCCUUCGCAGUGGACGAGCAAGAAAAAAUGCACAAUCUAAGGAAAGUGCUCAUCCACAGCUCACUUUUUCCCCUCCCUGCUCCUGUUCUAGCUGUAGCAAAAUGUCAAAGGCAUGAUGCACACAUUCCUUUGAAGCCAUUCCAUCGCCUGAUGAUCCAUUUUGCUUAUGAAAGGAAUGUACGCUGGGUGCUGGGAUUUUUGUUGGAAGGCCUCAGCAGCCGUGGAAUAACUGCAAGGAACACUGCCAGGUUUCCCCCCCUUCCCUACACAUUCCAAAACAUCCAUCCAGCGAGCAAUAAAUAGCAAAAAAAUAUUAAUUACCCAAAGGAAGAAUUCUCUCCUGAACAAAUAUUGGCUUUGUGACAAGAAGGAGCUUGUGAAAUGUGUGUUUGCCUACCAAGCCCACUCAGUCUAUUUCUGAUUCCCAAAGAACAUAAUGACCUGUGUGCCAGAUUUUAUUUGGGCUUUUUUUUUUUUUUCUUUUUUUUUCUUUUUUUUUUGCAUGGCCAGCAAGAACUGUAACAAACAUUCAGGAGGGAAAACACUCCAUUGUUGCUUUUGGUCUUAUGGUGGGUUUUGUUCUCUGCUUUUAACUGUGCUUCACUUCUGGAGCUGCACAGAAAAAAAAAAAAAAACCAACCCUGUUAUUAUUUUUUAACUUAUUCACCAGUUCUCUCAGCCUUCCCUGAAUACAUUUACUGCUUAAAAGUGUUCAGUAAAUGAGCUUGAGAGAAAUCAGUUUUGAGCUAUUAUAUACCACACACAAAAACAGAAGCACAUGCACACUUAUAUAUAUAU